GCCAGCAGCCAUAUCACCCUGCAGUUCUCAACUGGCUACCCACUGAUGCCAAGCAGGGUUGAGUCUGGUCAGUACCUGGAUGGGAGAUCCCCUGGGAAGCUACAGUAUGGUUGCUGCUGGAA
rfam:Lepisosteus oculatus linkage group LG5, whole genome shotgun sequence.